GGAGAGAUGGCAGAGUGGCCGAAUGCGCAGCAUUGCUAAUGCUGUGACCCCUUAACGGGGGUCCGCGGGUUCGAAUCCCGCUCUCUCCGC
rnacentral:tRNA from 1 species